GGACUUAAUUUUUGAGCCUUAGUAGAGAAAUCUACUAAGUGAUUGUUUUCACAUUCAGGGAAACCUAAGGUUUGAGGUAUGAGGUAAUCCUGAGCCAAAUUUUAGUUAUGAAAUAGGUGCAGAGACUCGAAGGAAACUAUCCUAACGAAAAAUUUUUUCUCUAUUUUUUAUUAUGAAUAUUGGUUAAGUGCAAAUCACAAAAUAUAUUCGAAAUAAUAAAAACAUCUGAAUACUAAAUAUGAAUAUUAGUUUUUAAAUAACUUUUAAUAGACGAGGAUAAAGAUAGAGUCCUUUUUUACAAUUUAUAUAAUUUUUUGUUAUAGAUAAUUGUAAAAAGAAAAUCCGUUGGCUUUAAUAGACCUUGAGGGUUCAAGUCCCUCUACCCCCA
rnacentral:tRNA from 1 species